rnacentral:rRNA from 1 species
AUUGAACGCUGGCGGCAGGCCUAACACAUGCAAGUCGAGCGAGCGGCGGACGGGGGAGUAAUGUCUGGGAAACUGCCUGAUGGAGGGGGAUAACUACUGGAAACGGUAGCUAAUACCGCAUACCAUCAGAUGUGCCCAGAUGGGGUUAGCUAGUAGGUGGGGUAACGGCUCACCUAGGCGACGAACCCUAGCAGGUCUGAGAGGAUAACCAGCCACACUGGAACUGAGACACGGUCCGGACUCCUACGGGAGGCAGCAGUGGGGAAUAUUGGACAAUGGGGGCAAUCCUGAUGCAGCCAUGCCGCGUGUGUGAAGAAGGCCUUCGGGUUGUAAAGCACUUUCAGCGGGGAGGCGUUACCCGCAGAAGAAGCACCGGCUAACUCCGUGCCAGCAGCCGCGGUAAUUC